rnacentral:rRNA from 1 species
GUCUAGUGGCGCACGGGUGCGUAACGCGUGGGAAUCUGCCCUUGGGUUCGGAAUAACAGUUAGAAAUGACUGCUAAUACCGGAUAAUGACUUCGGUCCAAAGAUUUAUCGCCCAGGGAUGAGCCCGCGUAGGAUUAGCUUGUUGGUGAGGUAAGAGCUCACCAAGGCGACGAUCCUUAGCUGGUCUGAGAGGAUGAUCAGCCACACUGGGACUGAGACACGGCCCAGACUCCUACGGGAGGCAGCAGUGGGGAAUAUUGGACAAUGGGCGAAAGCCUGAUCCAGCAAUGCCGCGUGAGUGAUGAAGGCCUUAGGGUUGUAAAGCUCUUUUACCCGGGAUGAUAAUGACAGUACCGGGAGAAUAAGCCCCGGCUAACUCCGUGCCAGCAGCCGCGGUAAUACGGAGGGGGCUAGCGUUGUUCGGAAUUACUGGGCGUAAAGCGCGCGUAGGCGGCUUUGUAAGUUAGAGGUGAAAGCCCGGAGCUCAACUCCGGAACUGCCUUUAAGA